AAGUUCACACGGAUCUCUGGCUCUCGCAUCGAUGAAGAACCCAACGGAAUCCGAUAAGUAAGUGAAUUGCAGAAUUCAGUGAAUCAUCGAAUCUUGAACGCACCUGCGCUCCNUGUAUUCCUCGAGCAUGCCUGUUUGAGUAUCA
rnacentral:rRNA from 1 species